GACGAACGCUGGCGGCGUGCUUAACACAUGCAAGUCGAACGAAGUGGCGAACGGGUGAGUAACGCGUAAUCAACCUGCCCUUCAGAGGGGGACAACAGGUGGAAACGACUGCUAAUACCCCAUACGGAAGGAGGGGAUGGGGUCUGAUUAGCUAGUUGGAGGGGUAACGGCCCAACAAGGCGAGGAUCAGUCGCCGGUCUGAGAGGAUGAACGGCCACAUGUGGACUGAGACACGGCCCAGACUCCUACGGGAGGCAGCAGUGGGGAAUCUUCCGCAAUGGACGAAAGGCUGACGGAGCAACGCCGCGGGAGUGAUGACGGCCUUCGGGUUGGAAAGCUCUGUUAAUCGGGACGCGGUACCGGAAUAGAAAGCCAUGGCUAACUACGUGCCAGCAGCCGCGGUAAUUC
rnacentral:rRNA from 1 species